rnacentral:rRNA from 1 species
GAUGAACGCUGGCGGCGUGCCUAAUACAUGCAAGUCGAGCGAACAGACGAGGAGCUUGCUCCUCUGACGUUAGCGGCGGACGGGUGAGUAACACGUGGAUAACCUACCUAUAAGACUGGGAUAACUUCGGGAAACCGGAGCUAAUACCGGAUAAUAUAUUGAACCGCAUGGUUCAAUAGUGAAAGACGGUUUUGCUGUCACUUAUAGAUGGAUCCGCGCCGCAUUAGCUAGUUGGUAAGGUAACGGCUUACCAAGGCAACGAUGCGUAGCCGACCUGAGAGGGGGAUCGGCGACACUGGAACUGAGACACGGUCCAGACUCCUACGGGAGGCAGCAGUAGGGAAUCUGCCGCAGUGGGCGAAAGCCUGACGGAGCAACGCCGCGUGAGUGAUGAAGGUCUUCGGAUCGGAAAACUCUGUUAUUAGGGAAGAACAAAUGUGUAAGUAACUAUGCACGCCUUGACGGUACCUAAUCAGAAAGCCACGGCUAACUACGUG